rnacentral:rRNA from 1 species
UGAGCAAUCUGCCCUUCACAUCGGAAUAACCAUUGGGAACGAUGGCUAAUACCGAAUAUGACUUCGGAUCGCAUGAUCUGAAGUGGAAAGCUCCGGCGGAGAAGGAUGAGCUCGCGGCCUAUCAGCUAGUUGGUGUGGGUAAUGGCCCACAAGGCGACGACGGGUAGCCGGCCUGAGAGGGUGACCGGCACACUGGGACUGAGACACGGCCCAGAUCCUA